UACAGGGGGUGCAAACGUUGCUCGGAAUUAUUGGGCGUAAAGCGCGCGUAGGCGGAUUGCUAAGUCAGGGGUGAAAUCCUGGAGCUCAACUCCAGAACUGCCUUUGAUACUGGCGAUCUUGAGUCCGGGAGAGGUGAGUGGAACUGCGAGUGUAGAGGUGAAAUUCGUAGAUAUUGGGAAGAACACCGAUGGCGAAGGCAGCCAUCUGGACCGACACUGACGCUGAGGCGCGAAAGCUAGGGGAGCAAACGGGG
rnacentral:rRNA from 1 species